AAAUGUAGAGGUGCGGCUGUUCAGGAGUACUCCUGCCGAGGUCAACGGGGACCGGAGACGCAGGCUGGAAAGGGUCAGCUGCCGAAGGGCAACGGUGCCGUUCGCCGGGGCUCUGGGCAUCCGGGAAACACCCGUAUGACUGUCACCGAAGACACGGUGGAGUGCUACUUU
rnacentral:ncRNA from 1 species